rnacentral:misc_RNA from 1 species
AAGUCGUAACAAGGUUUCCGUAGGUGAACCUGCGGAAGGAUCAUUAAUACGCUUUUGUUUGUAACAAAACAAAACGUUUAAAACUCCAAAAGAAAUAGUGGAAAUAUAACUUCCGGAUGCGAAUGUUGGGAACUGAGUAAAAUCGGUUCUUUUGAAAAAGGGACUUCAAGCAAUUGACACUUCAGAGUAGAGCAGUGAGGUGAAAUUCUCUUUUCGAAGAGAGUUUGGUUCUAAAAAACAUUUGUAUCCGGUUAUCAUAACCUGUUCUACAAAUUCUAUCAAACAAUAAACCCCAUGUAUAACAACUUGAACUAAACAUUUUUUUGUUAUCCUUCUUGCACUUGUGUGAGAAGAUACUACGAAGAAAAAACCUGAACUUAAGAACAACUCUUAACAACGGAUAUCUUGGUUCUC